AUGUGCCUGUUAGAUUUACCAGCCUCAGUGUCUAGUGGUGGUGAUUUCACAGGGACAGUAGAUAAACCGUACUGCUCUUCCAAAGUCUUGACAGUUGACCUUUUGUAGAUUUGUUUGUUUUUCCUUAAUAUCAAAUGUAUAAAAGAAGAUUCCACUGUUAAUAUACCAAUAUGUAUGCAUAAGCAUGCAUUCAUCAGCUCCUUUUGCGUACAUAUUUUCUUUGCACCUGAUCGAGAAUCCCAAAUAAUAUUGACCUGACAAUAGCAGAAAUAUUUAUCCUUUCGACCAUGUUAAAAUGCAUGAGUCCCGGUUUGCAAUUAUGAUGUUAUACAUAUUCUGACGAGUUGGAUUAAUUAACUAUCCUAAUAACAUCAACAACAAUCAUACUGGUUUAGGUUCUCUGUUCCCUUUGACAUCCCUGAUGUAUGAUUCCUCUCCUCCCACCAGAAUGGUUCUUUGAGUUUGGCUUUGUCAUUCCCAACUCAACCAACACGUGGCAGUCUCUGUUUGAAGCGGCUCCGGAGUCCCAGAUGGUGCCAGCUCAUGUACUCACUGGGAACGUGAUUAUUGAGACCAAGUUCUACGAUGACGACCUCCACGUCAGCACAUCGAGGGUACGGUUGUUCUACGUCUAAGUCCGUCCCCCCCCCCCCCCCAAAACCCGUCCC